GCUCUCGUCGUUCAAUGGAUAGGACACAACUUUGCGGAAGUUGCGAUGUAGGUUCGAUUCCUACCGAGAGCA
rnacentral:tRNA from 1 species